GACGAACCGUGCGAACGUUAUUCGGAAUCACUGGGCUUAAAGCGCGUGUAGGCGGGCCGGCACGUCGGUCGCUGAAAUCCCCCGGCUCAACCGGGGAAGGGGCGCCGAUACGGCCGGCCUGGAGGGGCGUAGGGGGACCGGGAACUUCCGGUGGAGCGGUGAAAUGCGUUGAGAUCGGAAGGAACGCCCGUGGCGAAAGCGCGGUCCUGGACGCCUGCUGACGCUGAGACGCGAAAGCCAGGGGAGCGAACGGG
rnacentral:rRNA from 1 species